UACGUAGGGAGCAAGCGUUGUCCGGAAUCAUUGGGCGUAAAGCGCGCGUAGGCGGCCCUGUAAGUCCGUUGUGAAAGUCAAAGGCUCAACCUUUGAAAGCCGGAUGGAUACUGCAGGGCUAGAGUCCGGAAGAGGCGAGUGGAAUUCCCGGUGUAGCGGUGAAAUGCGCAGAUAUCGGGAGGAACACCAAUGGCGAAGGCAGCUCGCUGGGACGGUACUGACGCUGAGGCGCGAAAGCGUGGGGAGCAAACAGG
rnacentral:rRNA from 1 species